rnacentral:lncRNA from 1 species
AUAACACUUCAUUAAUUGUAUCCACCAAUCAGCAUGUGGUUUAAGCUUACCCUGUUGGUGUACGCGAUUAAUGAUCUUAUUGUAUUACUGUUCGCCAAAUUGUAUGGAUAUGUGACUGAGUGUGUGUUUGUCGUACGAUGACCUAUAGUUGUUAAGAGUUGCCUCAUUUGCAAUAAUACCACAUCUUCUUUUUUUAUAAAUACGACUAAAAUUAAUUUAAGUUUUUGAAAUAUGACUAUUCAUAUUGUAAAAUUUAGAUUUAUGUGCGUAGCUCUCUGUCGUAGCUUUUAUGUAAUUGUUAUAUGUGCUUUGAUAUUUAUGCUUUUUUAUUU